AUCUAACCGACGCGUCCUAAAUGGGACGAAACGUGUGUUUCAGAU
rfam:Schistosoma curassoni strain Dakar, Senegal genome assembly, scaffold: SCTD_scaffold0005920